CAUCUUCCCACUCCCGUCGCAUUGCCCCUUUCACCUACUCCAUAACGUCGGUCUCCCACUUCAUGAUUCAUAAAGCCUCAUACAUUCACUACGAUAAUUAAUGCCUAUUCAACUCUUGCAUUUUCCACAAAUUUACAACUGCAUAUGUAUAUAUAUCUCCUCUCUAAAUCCUUAUGCUUCACCUAUUUCUUCAAAACGAAAUCAUCAUACCAGGCUAUAGAUACUUUGGUUGGGUCAACGAAAAGAGAAGACCGAAGCAGACAAGAAGAUCCUUACAGAGGAUGAACUUGAGCAGAAGAAGAAGAAGGAUGACAAGUUUUGGGUUUUGAUUUUUUUCUUCCGAUGGUUAUAAGAUUUUCUUCUUCCGAAGGAAACUGCUAUUCGAUUGAGCAAAGAGAUUCAGGUUUCAUUCUUUGGAAGAUUUUGAUACUGGUUGCGAUAACAGAGACUGCAAAUCGUUUCAUGGAUAGAGGCGUGAGCAGAGUAAUUUUGGCUCACUGUUUGUGUUUGUAAUGUGGAUCACAUGUUUUUUUUAAAC